GACGAACGCUGGCGGCGUGCCUAAUACAUGCAAGUCGAACGAGAGCGACCGGUGCUUGCACUGGUCAAUCUAGUGGCGAACGGGUGAGUAACACGUGGGUAACCUGCCCAUCAGAGGGGGAUAACAUCCGGAAACGGAUGCUAAAACCGCAUAGGUCUUCGAACCGCAUGGUUUGAAGAGGAAAAGAAGCGCAAGCUUCUGCUGAUGGAUGGACCCGCGGUGCAUUAGCUAGUUGGUGAGGUAACGGCUCACCAAGGCCGUGAUGCAUAGCCGACCUGAGAGGGUGAUCGGCCACAUUGGGACUGAGACACGGCCCAAACUCCUACGGGAGGCAGCAGUAGGGAAUCUUCCGCAAUGGACGCAAGUCUGACGGAGCAACGCCGCGUGAGUGAAGAAGGUUUUCGGAUCGUAAAACUCUGUUGUUAGAGAAGAACAAGUGCUAGAGUAACUGUUAGCGCCUUGACGGUAUCUAACCAGAAAGCCACGGCUAACUACGUG
rnacentral:rRNA from 1 species